UUCUAUCUACUCUUCUUCUUGCACUCGAGAGGUUCAAGGGAACGCUUGUUUAGUAUCGCUCUAGCGGUGAGUUUCGGUAUAUAAAUAUAUAAAAAAAAAAAUUUCAAUUUUUUUUCCCCGGGUGAGGGGAGUGUAACGUUCAAAUUUGAACGUUUGUAGAUUCGCGCGAAGGUGCGCAAGGAUCGCUAAUAUUCGAGCGCAGGUCGCGAAUGGUCGGACCGGAAUAAAUCCUUUUCUCGGCUCAUUAUUAUUUUGGAUGCUCCGUCUUCACGAGAUAAAUAAAAAAGCGGUAGAAAAUUACUGCAACCACAAGUGUGGGAUCUGUUAUAAAUUUAUUUCAAGGAAGAGAAGUAUUGAGAAGGUGUAGUGAUCACCAUUCAUUCGAUUAAUUCGGAUUUCAAUAAUAAUAAGCGCUACGAGUGCGAUUUCUGUGGAAGCACCAGUCCGAUUGGCCGAUUGCUAAUUUUGGGCCGAUUUGCCGACUUUGGGCCCGAUUUUGCGGACCUCUCGACCGCCAAGGUACACCCAGUUCACCUUGGUACAUCGCCACUCACCGGGGACGUUGCCACCCCUUACGUUUGUGCCGUUUCGCCCAUAUUCACGCUAAGUAUACCUCAAUUAAAUCUUGGUGCAAUUUCGCCUGUGUAUUAAUUUACAAAAGACAGUAAAGUUUUAGAUUUUAUACCUAUUUACCUCUUGAAGAAACACGUUUGAAUUGUGUAUUUGAUAGUGAAGAGAGAGAUAGAAUAACACAAACUAACAACUAGACUUAGAAAUUUUGAUAUUGAUGUGAUUUGGCGACUAUGAAUAAAAGCAAGGGAGAAAAUAUAA